rnacentral:lncRNA from 1 species
GGCGAAGUCUGCAUCACACUGCCAUGUUUCUUGUAAAAGAAGUAGGAAACACAAAGAAGAAAAUAACAAAUCAUACUAAUUACACUUCCAGAGAUAUAUAUUGUUACUAUUUUGGUUACAUCUUUUAAGAUUUUUUUCUGUGCGUAUUUGUGGAUAUAUACAAACAUACACAUUUCACUACAUAAAUUGGUUUGUAUUGUACAUACUGUUCUGUGAAUUGCUUUUUAUAGUUAGUUGCGAACAGUUUUCCUUGUCAAUAAAUAAACUUCUUAUGAGUCUCUCAUAUUUCACUGUGUACCUACCAUGGUUUAACUAAUCCCUUGUUAUUGCCCGUUUAGGUUACUAACAGUUGUGGCCUAUGUAUAAUACUAACUCUGUGCACCUCCUUAUUUAUUCUUAUUUUUUUAAAAGAUUUUAGGGGCUGGCCCGGUGGUUCAGUGGUUAAGUGUGCACGUUCUGCUUCUUGGUGGCCCGUGGUUCACUGGUUCGGACCUGGCAGCAUGGCUUGAUAAGCAGCGUGUACAUCCAUGCCCGGGAUCCGAACCAGUGAACCCCAGGCUGCUGAAGCGGAGUGCACAAACUUAACUGCUAUGCCACUGGGCCAGCCCCUCAAGGAUGUUGGUACAAAUUGCCCAAUUGUCUUCCAGAAAAGAUGUAUCAACUUAGACUCUCACCACCAGUCCUGUGAGAGUAUCUCUUUCACUACAUCCUUCCCAACACAAGGAUGAACUUUGAAGUCAUUGUGCCAAGUCCUGCUUGUUCCUUUGGACUACACAGUGGGAGCUGGAAACAUGGGUGACCCCAGUAGGGGCUUUUGUAUUCAUAAGCACCAGGCUUACGAAUACAAACACAGCAAGUCCCAGGAGCUGGUUUUGGUGGGGCUGGACUUCUCCUCCAUGCAGAAUCACAUGGCCUCUUUAGGAAGAAGCCCCUCGCCGCCAUUGACCUCCACUUGGGGCAUCCUCCUGUCUCCAGUCCAAAGACAAUCCUAUGGACCUCAGAGCUCUUGUGUCUCUGCUGCUGCAGCACCCAUCCAUAUGUGCCCCACUGUGGCCGAGCCAGCCUGUACUGGGGUGUUCCUGUCCAUCUUGCAGGGGACUCUGCCUCCAGCCAGUGCCCCCUCCAAGCCUGGUCUCCUCUAAGGAUUUCCUGUGGGUUAGCUCUGGGGAUCUUUUCUUAAUCUGUUCCUACAUGUGUUAUUACAGAAAGAAUUAUUCAUAAUUGCCAGCAUUGUGAUGGCUUCUUCCUAGUUUCUUUUGAGCCUGCAUGUUUUUCCCUACUUGACAUUUUCUAGGUUCUCUCCUACUUAAGUGACUUCUUCAGGAUCUUUUCUAUUGAGGAGUAAUGAACGAACAGUAAAGUCACAAAUCCUAAGCAUACAUUGCAGUGAAUUUUUACAUAUGUGUACACUAUGUAACCACCACCCCAAUCAAGGUGUUUCUUUUAGAGUUGAGAAGUUCUUGGUGGGAGGUUGAGUGGAGAAGGAAAUCAUGAGUGUGUCCACGAGCUGCCGUCUUUUUCUAGAACUCUCUUUAAAGGGUGUUAAGGAGGGAGCUGAACGUCAAGUCUAUACAGUGGUGUGGAGAGCAGAAUGCUUAGGAGUGGCAGGUCAUGUUCUGGUCCUCCCCCUUACUAGCUGUGGGACUUCUGUGCCUCAGUUUCAACCACUGUAAAAUGGGAGUAGAUGAUAGCUCUUACCUCACAAGGUUAUCAUGAAGAUUACACGAGGCAGUACAUGUAAGUGCACCAAAAAAUGUUAAUUGUUAUUUUUGUUGUUAUUAAUAACGAGGAGGAGGCAGUGGUUCUUAAUGAAGGAUAUGCAUCAGAAUCACCUGGGGCACUUUCGCAAAAUACACAUUCUCAACCUGGCCAGAUCUACUGAGUCAGAAUCUAGAUUUUAAAUGCCUCCCCAGGUUCAUUCUGUUGCUCAUCCGUGGUUGAGAACCACUGGGCUGGAGGUGGUCAUGACUGGAAGCAGGAAGGCCAACAGGUAACCCCUGCGAUAGUGAGAGCCGGAGAGGAUCAGAGCUGAGCAGAUUUGAGGCAGAGUGGAGAGGUGGCCAAGAUGUGGCGACCUUGGGUGGAGGAGCGAGGAAGGAGGGGGAGGAGUCUGGGGUGACUCAGAGGCUGCUGACUGGACAAUGGAGUGAGCAGGUGGAGGAUGAGCCAGAAGUGGGAAUACAGGAAGGGGGCGUGGGGUGGGGCAGUGGGCCAGAGAUUGUUAUAAUUCCCCUUGGGAUUGUUGAGUGGAGACUCCUGGUGGGAAUAGCAAGUUAGUAUUUGGAUCUCUAGGCCUGGGCUUCUGGUGUUUUUCAGGGAGUCAUCGAUGUCAAGGAGAUAGAUAAAGCCAUGGACCUGGUCACAGUGCAAACAUAGAGGGCAGAAGAGGGCCACAUUCACUAGUAUCCACCUCUGGGAAGGCCUGCGUCCACUUCCUGUUUCCUCCCUAGCAAUAGAGAAGCGCUUGUUUCUCGUGUAAUAACCCCUUUGCUGAGGACGUUGGGGAAUAAACUCAGUCUUCUCACUUGAAGAUGACCCAUGACUAUGGGUCACUUCCUUUCCUUACAGGUCUCAAAAUUUUCCGCAUCCUCUGAUGGAGGAGCUUAAUCCUUAUUCAUCAGUAUCUUCAGACAGCACAUCUGGUUGGGGCAAUGUCUUAUCUUCCAACACCCCCUCAUCCCCCAUGCUCUCACACAUACUCAGCCUCUGGUGGAUGGCUUCUUAGACUCUGGCUUUCUUCAGGCCCUUGAUAUCAACGAGUUGCUCUUUGGCAAGAAUUUAAGCCCUUCGAGUACCUCUCCCAGAGGCGUUUGCAUUUAGAACUAUAGGUGUAAUAGAAAUAAUGGAAGAUGUUGCAUUCCUGAGGGAAGGCGAUCCUGGAAUGAAAUAUUCAUUCUCUCAUUCUAGAACAUCCCUGUCUAGUAGACCUUUCUGCGUUGAUGGAAAUGUUCUUCUGUGCUAUACAAUACGAUAGUCACUAGCCACAUGUGGCUAUUGAGUGUUUGAAAUGUGGCUAGUGUAACCGAGGAAUUGGAUUUUUCAUUUUAAUUAAUUAAAAGUUAAAUUUAAGUUGACAGAAGAAAAGCACGCACUGUUAGUUUGCAUUCACUGGAUCAAUGAACGAUAGGGACGCCAG